UUUUUUUAUCAGUUCUAUAGGAAUGCUUUUAUCGUAGAAUUUAUAUGUUACUUUAAAAAAUUUUGCGUUUGAUAAAUAAACGAGUGUUCCCUGCUUCCCUUUUUCUUUUUCUAUAUAAAGGAGUGUGUGGGUUUCAUUUGCUCCAUACCAUCUUUCAAUUCUCUCCCUUCUCUCUAGAAGUUCAUCAUCUCUCUUAGAAGAGCUUGCUUUUUUUAGUCGCCGAUCCAUUUUUGAUGAGGUGAUGUUUUAAAGGUAUUUAUUACUUGAUCUAUUUUUUGGAUUUCUUGUUGCUUUCAUUUUGUACUUUUCGUGGUUUUGGUGCUUAAGUUGGAGAAACUAUUCCACUUUUCGGUUGAAGGAAGAAACAUCUAUAUUUUGUUAGUUUAUGGUUUUCAAGAUCAUUCUUUCGAGUUUUUAGAUUUUUGGUCGUAUGAAGGAGUUUUGCAGUAGUUUUUGAGUUUUCGAUCCGGCCGUGGAGGAGGAUUUUUUGGGUUUUCAGCUAUGGAAAAGGGUUUUCAAGUUUUCGAGUGCAAGGGAGUCUGUUGGUAGCUUUUGGAUUUUCAGUUCGGUCAUGGAAGAAUGUUUUGGGGUUUUCGGCCUAUUAGGAUUUGGGUUUUUAGCUUGAGCUUUAGGAGGCGUGGUGGUGUUUUCAAUUUUUGGCAUUUUGGUGUGGGACCUAUGCACCUUUUGGUUUUUCAAUCUUCCUUUGGCAUGUUGCUUUUGCAGGUUUUCAGUGCUUAGGUGUGGGACCUUGGCACCUUUUGGGUUUUCGAUCUUCUUCAGUGGAGUGUUGCUUUGCCAGCUUUCGAUUCUUUGGUGUGGGACGCUUUU
rnacentral:lncRNA from 1 species